rnacentral:rRNA from 1 species
UACGAAGGGGGCUAGCGUUGUUCGGAUUUACUGGGCGUAAAGCGCACGUAGGCGGAUCUUUUAAGUCAGAGGUGAAAUCCCAAGGCUCAACCUUGGAACUGCCUUUGAUACUGGGGAUCUUGAGUCCGGGAGAGGUGAGUGGAACUGCGAGUGUAGAGGUGAAAUUCGUAGAUAUUCGCAAGAACACCAGUGGCGAAGGCGGCUCACUGGCCCGGUACCUGACGCUGAGGUGACGAAGCGUGGGGAGCAAACAGG